CCUGAGAAACCCAAAAGAUCGAAUGGGGAGAUUCAUCGUCAGCGAUCCUGGCACGUGUGCGGUUCGUGAUGCCGGAGUCUUCGGUCUCAUGGCACACGUCCGCAUGGUUUAUUUGCCGGGUGUCGUCGGCGUGCACUUCUCCCCUAGUAGGACGUCGCGACCCGUUGGGUGUCGGUCUACGGCCCGGGUGGGCGCCUGUCAUGUGUUAGCUUUACGGCGUCAUGUGGCAGACCCCCGGUUGUCCGACCAGCUGCCCGGCGGUACUCGCACGGUAUCGAGUCGCAAAUAUUCGAACUGCGUCCGGCACGCCGCAAGCGAGGCCAGUGUUCCCCGGAUGUACGGACCUAGAGCCGUCACCGGGCCUGGCCAGCUGUUGGUUGGCGUUGUCCUGGGACUGGCUCUGUAUUAUGAUACCGGUCGGCGACGCUACUGCUUUGGGACUUUCAGGA
rnacentral:rRNA from 1 species